rnacentral:tRNA from 1 species
GCUUUCAUAGCUUAGUUGGUUAGAGCACCUGUUUAGUAAGUGUGAGGUCAUCAGUUCAACUCUAAAUGAAAGCA